CAGUAAGUUCAACGAUUGUUUUUAAUAUCCUAGAAAAACAUCGAAAUAUUUCUAUUAUUUGUAAAUUGAAUUUCUGAAAGAAUAUAAAUUGUCCUACUAGUCUUAAUAUUUCGUGGAUCAUCUUAUCUGCAAUGAUAGGUCAUUAACGGUAGAUUCUAAAUUAUUCGAUACGACCUCAUCAGAUUUUUCCAAAAGAUUCUGUAGAAUAACCGAAAAUAAUUUUUCUCCGGUUCUUGAAAAUCACUUCGUUUAAAUCGAUUGCUUCAUUAUUUAUUGAUCGCUAGCAUUCUCCCACGCACUUCUAUUUUGAGCCAUGACGCAUUUAAACAUGGCUCCAUGGGAGAGAAAUCAAAGGACAUAAAUUGUUUUUCUCUCAACCUGCAUUCAACAAUUUUAUGCGCAACAAUUUCUCUAUCUGUGCUGCUAUGAAAAUAUUAACUGCGAGAGCUAGAUUUUCAACGGAUGCUCCAAGUUCCAGUUCACAUUUCUUCCAAAUGCAAUUCAACAGGGCAGAAUUGUUUGGAUCCCUGUUUUUCAUAAAGAACUCAGCAUCUGUGGAGUGCGUGAGGAUCACGAAAGUACCUGAUUCUGACAUGAAUCCUCCUCGUAUAGCCUAUAUGAUGCCUCUUAUCCAUCAUACAGGCCAUCCAUGCCUAUAUGAUGUUGUUUUGAAACCGAUAUUCAUCUUUGAUAAAAUUGUAAAAGCUGAAAAAUGAAGUACGUCAAUGGGAGAAGCCAGUUCCUUCCCUUUUCGUGCAUCCACAAGGGUGGCGAGAACCAACCACCAAAGGAUGUCCAGUAAUAGUUACUUUGCACCUCCAGAGGAGCUGUGUUGAUUUUUCCUCCUGUUUCUGGAACAUUCCACUUCAUUCUUCUAUGACUGUAGAAAAACAAACCAAAGUUUUCCGAUAUGCCUCUCCUGAUCAGAGAAAGUUUCUGGAACAUUCCACUUCAUUCUUCUAUGACUGUAGAAAAACAAACCAAAGUUUUCCGAUAUGCCUCUCCUGAUCAGAGAAAG